CCUACGGGUGGCAGCAGUCGGGAAUAUUGCGCAAUGGACGAAACUCUGACGCAGUCACGCCGCGUAUAGGAAGAAGGAUUUCGGAUUGGAAACCAUUGUCUAUAGGGAAGAUAAAAUACUCUAGCUAAGGAGUAAGCACCUGCUAACUAUAUGACAGCAGGCUCGGUAAUUCAUAGGAGGCAAGCUUUCUCCGGAAUUAUUGGGUGUAAAGGGUGCGUAGACGGAUGUAUAAGUUGGCUGUGAAAUCCUUCGGCUCAACUGAUGAACUGCCGCCGAAACUGGACGCCGUGAGUGUCGUAGAGGAAAGUGGAAUGCCUGGUGUAGCGGUGAAAGGCGUAGAUAUUAGGAGGAACUCCAGUGGCGAAGGCAGCUUUCUGGACGAUAACUGACGUUGAGGCACGAAAGUGUGGGGAGCAAACAGGAUUAGAUACCCUUGUAGUC
rnacentral:rRNA from 1 species